UAACUAGCAGACUGCAAGAAAGUGAACAUGCAAGCGUAAGAUGUUUCUGUUAAGUUUGUAGUCGAGAAAAAGAGACCUGUUCACUGAAUUGAGACUAUUUUACCUUGAAAGUAUGGCAAGCACACAAUACAUAAAGUCUCCAUUAGAUGUACUUAACUUUGUUCCAGAAGGACAUGAAAAAGCUUUGAAGCAGGCUUUUUACAACACAGCUGCAAUUCUCUUUGUUGCCUUUGCCUUUACUGCUGCUGUUGCAGUAUAUUUUGUUUUUGAGCCUUUCUUAGAGCCACUCUUGUGGGCUGUGUUGUUUGGAUCUGUUCUACACCCAUUCAAGCAGAAGUUGACUUUACUUUUCAGAGGAUGGCUCAAGGGUCUUCAUGAUGAUGGAACUCCUCUUGCCUUUGGUUUAAUUGCUAGUCCAUUUAAGGUCAUAGAUAAUAUAUCUGAAGGCAUUGGAUAUUUUCUUUUGAACUACAUUCAAGUAUUCAUUGGGCUUGCUAUUGGCCUUCCUGUGCUAUAUUUUAUCUAUGGCUUACUUCCAGAAACCUUUUCCUUUGAUCUAUGGGCAGGGAUAGUUGUGUUUUUUCAGAGUGCUUCAAAUGUCUUGGAAUUCUUCAGUAAUGCUGGCUUACUGGUAUGGACAUUGGUGAUUGGAUAUAUACUUCUUGUUGUAAUAUGGUGGACACCUUAUGCUCAACGUAUACUUCCUCUGAUGUCUGUCUGUGUGUGGAUGACUGUUAUAUUUCACUUUGCAACAGUUGCUGGUCUUCUACGUGUUCCUAUACUGUUCAUCCUUCUGGUCCUUCUGGUGGUGGGCUUUUUUACUGAAGUGAAAGAAAACUGGAAACAGAAAGAAUCUGGAGAUACAGUACAAAAAGAUAUCCAGGCAUCAUCUGUGGGUUCUUUAAAGUCAGCUACAGAGUGGCUUACUGAAACAGGUGCACAUACUGAAGAGGCCACACAAGUUAUGAGUAGCGAAUCAGAAAAUGCAUCUCAGCAGAACGUACAGGUGGAGCCCUCUACACCAGAGCGAGUACCACAAAGGGUUACUAAGCCUUCUUCUCUUCCAUUUACCUCAAGGAAAACUGAAAGUGAAACCAAAAAUGAAGCAAAAUUGAGCAACUUGUAUUUGUAUGGACUUGUGUGGGCCUGUAUUCUGACUGAAUUUUGGUUAAAUUUAUGGCUUUUAAACCUCCUUCCAUUGCCCGUGAUAUAUAUUGUUAUCAAGAAGUUAGGCUGUCACUUUGGGUUAUUCAACUUCAUCAAAGAAAAGAUUUCUGUUACAUGGAAAGUUGGAAUGGACUGGUGCCAAAGUAGAAGGGAAGCUCUUAUCCCUGCACCUGUUCGAGGUUUGGGGAAGAUGCUUGCUCGCGGUGACCGGAAGGUGAUAGCUGUACUGGAAGGGUCCAUUGAUACUUUCACCAGUAUUGGUGUUAUAUUGAUUGUUCUGAUACUGACAGUUGUUGGGACAAUUUUCCUGUCUGUACAGAUUUAUGGUGAAAGUAUGCAUUUGGUGGAAGUGACUAGCAAUCUGAUCAAUCGAGUUGUCGUACAUAAUCCAGAACUCCAGCAGUUGUUGCCUGAGAAGUUACAAGAUGUUCAAGGGACUCUGGAUUCCAUGGUGGGAAAUGCAUAUGUGUAUGGAAGAGAAUGGAUUUCCACCACGGUGAGAGAUUUUAUUGAUGGAAAGGAUGAAACUAGAGCUGCUGUUGUUGAGGGACAGAUUUUAGAAGUGUGGGAUCGCAUUUACCAUCUUUGGAUAACCAGGAAUGCCACCAAUGUUACCAGUGCUUUUUCAUCACAUCAUGGAAUGUCAUGGAGUGAUCUAGUGGAUGGAAUGAAAACGUUGAAUUUGACACUUUUGGUCAGCUACAUCCAAGAGAAUAUUGGCACCCUAAUAGCAGUUCUAGAAUCAGUGUGGACUGUAGUGAUUGGUAACCUCAGUCUAGCCUUCAGUAGUUUGACAGCAAUCUUGUCCUUACUGUUUGGAGGAGGAACUGCUGUUCUUAAUUUCCUUCUGGAUUUUGUUGUAUUUUCAACAGCUUUGUUUUACUUGCUCUGUGCAAGUGGUACUCUUUACAAGCCUGUUGAGAUGGUCAGCAUGAUGCUUCCCUCCGGAGGAGCAGGUAACAAAGUAGGAGAAGUAGUUGAACAAUCCAUCAAUGGUGUGUUUGCUGCAUCUUUCAAGAUGGCUGCAUUCUAUGGCCUGUAUACUUGGUUGAUUCACACCAUCUUUGAUGUCAAUAUAAUAUAUAUUCCAUCAGUUUUAGCUGCCAUAUUUGGUGCAGUCCCAUUUCUUGGUGGUUACUGGGCCUGUCUACCUGCAGUGUUGGAGCUGUGGUUGGUUAAUGGACAAGUCUUCCGAGCAGGACUAAUGUUUAUUGGCCAACUUGCACCUUCUUCUUUUGUUGACAGUGCAGUCUACAGUGAAAUUAAGGGAGGUGGUCAUCCAUACCUUACUGGUCUGGCUAUAGCUGGUGGGGUAUUCUGCUUGGGAUUUAGAGGUGCUCUGUUCGGGCCAAUGCUUCUCUGCCUCUUGAUGGUGGCCAUUAAUAUGUACAGUUCCAUGAUGCAAGAUACUUCAAGUACAGGAGUAGGUCGGGGAGGAGCCAAAUCGCUUCUAAAACGAAUGAACACAGUUGAAUAACAUCUGAAAGAUUGAUAGAAAAUUUGUUUUACAUUUGACUGCAUUAACUAUAUGACCAACAGUCAGUAACCUGAUGACUUAUUUGCUUCUAGUGGAUGAAAUGGAACAACUCAAGUUUCAUGCUACUUUUUGUCUUUAUUCUUCAGGAAUAUUUAAAACAUAUAAAAGUAGUCUGCACUUGUAGGUCAUGGAAUAUAAUGUAUUAGCAAGCAAUUAGUAGUCUAAGUAUAAGCAGUUAUUACUAAAGUAUUGUCUUUGUGUUAAUGAAACUUGUGAAGAUUAACUUGUGUUUCUGCAUUACUACACUGUAUUAUUAAGUGAACGAAGGUAAGGAAUAUCAAUAUUAAUUGCUUUACAAUGUAAUUUUUGUGUAUUCGGUAAUUUCAUUGCCCAAACAUCUUCAUAGUGAUGAAGCUUUUAAUUCUUAAUUUAGUGAAAGUUACAGGAUAAUUAUACAUUUUGCAGUAAUAGAUAUUGACAAUUAUGUGUAUGUCAACAGUAUGUUUUCUUCACACAGUAAUAUAUUUUCUCUCCAUAAGUUAAACUUGUGUAAUUAAGUUGUAAAAUUAUAAUUAUUUAAGAUUUUUCUUUGAUGUUUCUCAUGUCCCCUCCAGAAAAAAACAACAGAUAUGUAUAACUUGUGAAGAUACUGUAUUACCUCAGUAAUUACCAGAGAUUAGACACAAAUUCAGAAAAACUUGCCACAUUUCGGUGUUGUUCAUAUUAUAGAAAUCUCAAAGUUAUGAAAGAGAUUCAAUUUGAUGUUGUGUACUUCAAAGUAUUGAUUGAGAUUCUGUAAAAUGCUUGCUGCUUGAUUUUCUAACAGUGAUUAACAGUUUCUUUUAGGUAUGCUAAAUUACUGUGUUUCAAACUGCUCUAAGUCAGUUAAAACCAUGGCUUAUUAGAUGUUUUCAAAAAUAAGGUUUUUAAAUUGGCUAUUUGUUCAUAAGGAACUUGAAUUACAUGUUGGAUAAAAUAAAGUAUGAGCUAAUUAUAUGGCCAAUUUGAUACAUAUACAAUAUUGUAAGCAUUUUUUUAUAGAAGGUUUAUGUCUAUAUACUUUAUUCUGCAAAUUCACAAUUUAAACCAUGAUAUAGAUUUUUUUUCCAGUUAUCUG